rnacentral:piRNA from 1 species
CCCAUUGAGGCAAAGAAUGAACUGAAAC